rnacentral:rRNA from 1 species
CCUUGACAUGCAGAGAACUUUCCAGAGAUGGAUUGGUGCCUUCGGGAACUCUGACACAGGUGCUGCAUGGCUGUCGUCAGCUCGGUGUCGUGAGAUGUUGGGUUAAGUCCCGUAACGAGCGCAACCCUGUCCUUAGUUACCAGCACGUUAUGGUGGGCACUCUAAGGAGACUGCCGGUGACAAACCGGAGGAAGGUGGGGAUGACGUCAAGUCAUCAUGGCCCUUACGGCCUGGGCUACACACGUGCUACAAUGGUCGGUACAAAGGGUUGCCAAGCCGCGAGGUGGAGCUAAUCCCAUAAAACCGAUCGUAGUCCGGAUCGCAGUCUGCAACUCGACUGCGUGAAGUCGGAAUCGCUAGUAAUCGUGAAUCAGAAUGUCACAGUGAAUACGUUCCCGGGCCUU